GAUGAAGAACGCAGCGAAAUGCGAUACGUAAUGUGAAUUGCAAAUUCAGUGAAUCAUCGAGUCUUUGAACGCACAUUGCGCCCCCUGGUAUUCCGGGGGGCAUGCCUGUCCGAGCGUCAUUGCUGCCCUCAAGCACGGCUUGUGUGUUGGGCCCCGUCCUCCGAUCCCGGGGGACGGGCCCGAAAGGUAGCGGCGGCACCGCGUCCGGUCCUCGAGCGUAUGGGGCUUUGUCACCCGCUCUGUAGGCCCGGCCGGCGCUUGCCGAUCAACCCAAAUUUUUAUCCAGGUUGACCUCGGAUCAGGUAGGGAUACCCGCUGAACUUAAGCAUAUCAAUAAGCGGAGGA
rnacentral:misc_RNA from 1 species